CUGCCGUGGUCUGUAACGGCUCGUCUGAAAUGCCUGAGUGUACCCCGCUUUGCGGCGUAUUCGGUGUGAUACAUCUUCACCGGAGUUGAUCCUUUGGGAUCGCGUCUGUAUCUGUGUGGCUCUAUGCUUCCAACCGUCCUUUAUUGGACAAUGUCUGACAAUUUGACCUCAAGUCGGGUGGGACUACCCGCUGAACUUAA
rnacentral:misc_RNA from 1 species